rnacentral:rRNA from 1 species
AGUGAACGCUGGCGGUAGGCCUAACACAUGCAAGUCGAACGGCAGCACAGUAAGAGCUUGCUCUUACGGGUGGCGAGUGGCGGACGGGUGAGGAAUACAUCGGAAUCUACUUUUUCGUGGGGGAUAACGUAGGGAAACUUACGCUAAUACCGCAUACGACCUACGGGUGAAAGCAGGGGAUCUUCGGACCUUGCGCGACUGAAUGAGCCGAUGUCGGAUUAGCUAGUUGGCGGGGUAAAGGCCCACCAAGGCGACGAUCCGUAGCUGGUCUGAGAGGAUGAUCAGCCACACUGGAACUGAGACACGGUCCAGACUCCUACGGGAGGCAGCAGUGGGGAAUAUUGGACAAGGGGCGCAAGCCUGAUCCAGCCAUACCGCGUGGGUGAAGAAGGCCUUCGGGUUGUAAAGCCCUUUUGUUGGGAAAGAAAAGCAGCAGGUUAAUACCCCGCUGUUCUGACGGUACCCAAAGAAUAAGCACCGGCUAACUUCG